GUACACGCUGUGACUAGCAUAUCAAUAAGCGGAGGAAAAGAAACUAACAAGGAUUCCCCUAGUAACGGCGAGUGAAGCGGGAAGAGCUCAAAUUUGAAAUCUUAAAGGGUUUCCCUUUACGAAUUGUAGUUUAAAGAAGUGUUUUCUGUUGAGGUUUUGGUAAAAGUUCUUUGGAAUAGGACAUCAUAGAGGGUGAGAAUCCCGUAUUUGACCUUUACUUUCAACUUUGUGAUACACUUUCAAAGAGUCGGAUUGUUUGGGAAUGCAGUCCAAAAUGGGUGGUAAAUUUCAUCUAAAGCUAAAUAUUGGCGAGAGACCGAUAGCGAACAAGUACCGUGAGGGAAAGAUGAAAAGAACUUUGAAAAGAGAGUUAAACAGUACGUGAAAUUGUCAAAAGGGAAGCGUUUGACACCAGUGUUGUUUUUCUGAAAAUCAAUUAAAGAACUGUUUAUGCUAAGCUGUUUAGACUUUAUCAGCUAACUGUUUAGUUUUGAGCUUUUCUUUAAUGCACUUUUCAGUUAACAAGUCAACAUCAAUUUCUUUUGCUGUAAAAAAGCUUGAGGAAGGUGGCUUGAGAUUCGUCUUAAGUGUUUAUAGCCUCUUGCCUAUGCAGUCGGAGAGAUUGAGGUCUGCAGCGUAGAUCCUUCGGGGCUAAAUGCAUUUGUGCUAAGUUAUAGCAUUUUAUAGACAACUUGUUGACUAUGAUAUUUGUCUUGUAGCUUACUCGCUUAUGUUAUUUUACCUACGCUUAGGAUGUUGAGUCGUAGAGCACGCAG
rnacentral:rRNA from 1 species